UACGGAGGAUCCAAGCGUUAUCCGGAAUCAUUGGGUUUAAAGGGUCCGUAGGCGGUUUUGUAAGUCAGUGGUGAAAUCUGGUCGCUCAACGAUCAAACGGCCAUUGAUACUGCAAGACUUGAAUUAUUGGGAAGUAACUAGGAUAUGUAGUGUAGCGGUGAAAUGCUUAGAUAUUACAUGGAAUACCAAUUGCGAAGGCAGGUUACUAUCAAUAUAUUGACGCUGAUGGACGAAAGCGUGGGGAGCGAACAGG
rnacentral:rRNA from 1 species